AUUUAUAUAGUAUAAAAAUUAUAUUUGACUUCCAAUCAGAAGACCUACAAAAUAGUAGUAUAAAUU
rnacentral:tRNA from 1 species